AAAUCGUAUAGAGGUAGCGUUGCAUCAGAGUACAACAGGGAGCUGGCAAGUGAGGAAAUGUUGGAAAGGUAAUCAUCGCCGAAAGUUUCGUAUUGGCAAAUACGUCACUUGGGGUUGCAGGAAAUACCUGUAACACUCCUUCAGUUUUGAAGAGGAGCUAUUAAACAG
rnacentral:ncRNA from 2 species